rnacentral:tRNA from 1 species
GGGGCUGUAGUUCAGUGGGAGAAUACUUGUCUGGCAGACAAGGGGGUCACGGGUUCGAAUCCUGUCAGCUCCA